UCGGUCCCGGUUCACCCCAGUGCAUGGAGACCCGGCGGCC
rnacentral:ncRNA from 1 species